GAUGAAGAACGCAGUGAAAUGCGAUAAGUAAUGUGAAUUGCAGAAUUCAGUGAAUCAUCGAAUCUUUGAACGCACAUUGCGCCCGCUAGUAUUCUGGCGGGCAUGCCUGUCCGAGCGUCAUUUCAACCCUCAAGCCCCCGGGCUUGGUGUUGGGGAUCGGCGAGCCUCCGCGCCCGCCGUCCCCUAAAUCUAGUGGCGGUCUCGCUGUAGCUUCCUCUGCGUAGUAGCACACCUCGCACUGGGAAACAGCGCGGCCACGCCGUUAAACCCCCAACUUCUGAACGUUUGACCGCGGAUCAGGUAGGAAUACCCGCUGAACUUAAGCAUAUCAAUAAGCGGAGGA
rnacentral:misc_RNA from 1 species